CACCCUGGAAACUGAAUGUGGGCCAAGGGAUAGAUCACAACACUGCUGUUCGAGUCAGUCUCUCUUCUAGCAUCAACCAUAGAGCUUCAGUGCAGACUAAAAUCUUGGGCUGAAAUCCUCCCAAAGCCUGCAUGUGGAAAUGUAAGUGAGAGAGUGCGCUACACAAAUUGCUUACCUGUUCCAACUCUCCUGGGUCCUAAGGAGAGGUAUCUGCAGUAAAAGACUGCAAGUCCUGCUGUCUCUGAAAUCUCUACAAGAAGUGAGAGAUAAUGGAAACCUUACCUACCUGGUGAAGCUUUGAAAAAAUAAAGAAGGAUGGUAUUCCGGAAAGCCAACCUGAAGAGAUGAAGAGGGAGAGUGGUGAAUGUUAGGAGCAGCUGGAGGAUAAGGAUUUCUCUAGGGAGAAUUUGCACCACUCUGCAAAGACGCUAAUGAGGCAGACCAAGAGCUGACAGACUUAUGCCAGGCUUAUAUGAAAAGGCUCAAAGAAAGAAGGUAGAAUCUUUGCAUGAACUGAAGCAAACACAACUGUAAUAUAACCAGCUUCCUGGGAUACACAAUUGUCAUAGACAAGAGAAACCAGAAGAAUAACUAGAUCACUACAAUAGCAACCGGUCAAUUUGGACUGACUGUGGGAUCAGAGAGCUGAUGUACUACAACAGAAGAAGAAAUUAAGAACUAGAACUAGUUUCCAUCAGCCACUCCAGAGUCAAAACAACGUAAUGUAACCACAGGUGUAAAAUUCAUCAUCUUCACAGAACUAAGAAUUUUGCAGUAUCUGUACACUAAAGGGACAGAAUUUCUUUGGGGCUAUUGUAGAAUUCAGCCUGCCAUAAUUCACCCUCUGGCCCCAAGGAUUCAUGUCCCUUCCAAAAGCAAAAUACAUUCACCCUUUCCUAAAAUUUUCAAGGAUGUCAGCAUCAGCUCAACAUCUCAAAUAUCAGUUUUGGAAGAGGAUCCUGGGUGUAAUCCAUUACAGCUGCUGGAGCAAAAUUUCCCUCCAAUUUUGCACUUGUGAAACUAAGAGACAAAUUAUCUGCUCCCCAAAGUCCCAAUAUUCAAUAGUGGGGCAGGCAUAAGAUAACACUUUUAAGACAUUCUGGUUCAAAAAGAGAAAUGGGAAGCACAAACGAAUAACUGGUCAAAAUAUUCCUGAAAUCAAGUUGAGAAAACAGCGGAUUUUUAAAAAUUAUAUUUCAAGAUCUGGGAGUAAUUUUCUAUGGCCCUCUGGGCUCUCAGCUCCACCCUCUGGGCAAUUUCUUCUACCCUUAGAACCAUUCUUUCUUAUUGUAAAAGGUAGUACAUGUUUCUAGCAAAGAAGUUUUAUCAGCCUGCUUGUUGCCGCUCUCUGGCUCUUGCAGUACAAACUGGCAGUAUUUUUGCUGAUAUGGAUUUCCCAAGAACCUGUGAUCUUGCACGAAUUGUACUUGGUUUCACUCCAUUGGACAACAGCCAUACCCACAAAUCUUUUUGAGAUAAUCCCUCCUCUAUUUCUGGCUCCCGUUGAUCUGACUGAGGCACAAAGUCCUUAAGCUUCCUAGUAGUCCUCUAAGCAUUUCCUUAAUCUAUGGAAUCUAAUCCUAGUAGUCCUCUAAGCAUUUUCUUAAUCUAUGGAAAGAGCCAGUUGUAUGACAGAAUUUUCUGACCUUUUGAGUAUUCUGAGGUUUUGGUCUGAGUUUGUACCACCACACUCUCUGCCUUUUCUCUAUGCCACCCUGUCUUUAGUGCUCUCAUCUUAGCACCUUUUGUCAUGUGAAUAGGCUAAAAUUAUCGAAAUUACUUUUUUUAUUUUUAUUUUUUUGAGACAAAGUCUCACUCUGCUGCCAGGCUGGAGUGC
rnacentral:lncRNA from 1 species